rnacentral:rRNA from 1 species
GGUGGAUCAGUGGCGAACGGGUGAGUAACACGUGAGCAACCUGCCCUGGACUCUGGGAUAAGCGCUGGAAACGGCGUCUAAUACUGGAUAUGAGCCUCUAUCGCAUGGUGGGGGUUGGAAAGAUUUUUUGGUCUGGGAUGGGCUCGCGGCCUAUCAGCUUGUUGGUGAGGUAAUGGCUCACCAAGGCGUCGACGGGUAGCCGGCCUGAGAGGGUGACCGGCCACACUGGGACUGAGACACGGCCCAGACUCCUACGGGAGGCAGCAGUGGGGAAUAUUGCACAAUGGGCGGAAGCCUGAUGCAGCAACGCCGCGUGAGGGAUGACGGCCUUCGGGUUGUAAACCUCUUUUAGCAAGGAAGAAGCUUUUGUGACGGUACUUGCAGAAAAAGCGCCGGCUAACUACGUGCCAGCAGCCGCGGUAAUACGUAGGGCGCAAGCGUUAUCCGGAAUUAUUGGGCGUAAAGAGCUCGUAGGCGGUUUGUCGCGUCUGCUGUGAAAUCCCGAGGCUCAACCUCGGGCCUGCAGUGGGUACGGGCAGACUAGAGUGCGGUAGGGGAGAUUGGAAUUCCUGGUGUAGCGGUGGAAUGCGCAGAUAUCAGGAGGAACACCGAUGGCGAAGGCAGAUCUCUGGGCCGUAACUGACGCUGAGGAGCGAAAGGGUGGGGAGCAAACAGGCUUAGAUACCCUGGUAGUCCACCCCGUAAACGUUGGGAACUAGUUGUGGGGUCCUUUCCACG